AUGCCUCUUCAGCAGCAAGAUCAUGCUCUUGAAUCAACUCUCACAAUAAGAUUUGAACAAAACCUCCCCAAGAUCACUCAAUUCUAUAGGCAAAGAGCCAAAAAACACUGGGCAAGAGACGGCGAUAGAAAUACCUAUUAUUUUCAUCGUGUUGUCCUCAAGAGAAGGAAAAGAAAUACUAUUGUUUCUAUUAAACAAAAAGAUGUUAUUAUCCAUUUUAAACCUAAGCAGAUUGCAAACACUUCUGUUAACUACUUUAGAUACAUCUUCUCGCCCUUCUUAGCUUCAAAUCAUCUUGCUUUGUCUAAUGAUUUCACUUAUUUUAUACCGGAUAAGAAGGAAAUUUUGCGGACACUCAAGGGCAUGAAAUUAAAUGCUUCACCGGUGUCGGAUGGUUUUAAUCUCGAGUUCUAUCUUGCUACAUGGGACUGGAUAGGUGAGGAUGUCGCUACUCUGGUAAGAUUUUUUUAUCAAACAAGCAUUCUACCUCCUCACAUUAGUGAUACAAAUAUUGCACUUAUUCCUUAGAAGCUGGUGCCUCAACUUCCUAGCGAUUAUAGACCUAUUAGUCUUUGUAAUGUUAUCUACACAAUCAUUGCUAAAACUCUUGCUAAUAAACUUAAACACCAUCUCCCAGAUUACAUUGAUCCGAUGCAACAAGCUUUUAUCAAAGGUAGAAGAAUGAGUGAUAACAUUAUUAUAGGUCAAGAAAUCACCCACUCUUUUGCACUCAGAUCCUGGAACCAUGAGGCCAUCUUUACUUAA
rnacentral:rRNA from 1 species